UGGGGAAUAUUGCACAAUGGGCGCAAGCCUGAUGCAGCCAUGCCGCGUGUAUGAAGAAGGCCUUCGGGUUGUAAAGUACUUUCAGUCGGGAGGAAGGUGGUAAGGUUAAUAACCUUAUCAAUUGACGUUACCGACAGAAGAAGCACCGGCUAACUCCGUGCCAGCAGCCGCGGUAAUACGGAGGGUGCAAGCGUUAAUCGGAAUUACUGGGCGUAAAGCGCACGCAGGCGGUUGAUUGAGUCAGAUGUGAAAUCCCCGGGCUUAACCCGGGAAUUGCAUCUGAUACUGGUCAGCUAGGGUCUUGUAGAGGGGGGUAGAAUUCCAUGUGUAGCGGUGAAAUGCGUAGAGAUGUGGAGGAAUACCGGUGGCGAAGGCGGCCCCCUGGACGAAGACUGACGCUCAGGUGCGAAAGCGUGGAGAGCAAACAGG
rnacentral:rRNA from 1 species